UGGGGAUGGUUAGGUGCUACCAGCAUCUGGUU
rnacentral:piRNA from 1 species